UACGGAGGGUGCAAGCGUUAAUCGGAAUUACUGGGCGUAAAGCGUGCGCAGGCGGUUUGUUAAGUCUGUUGUGAAAUCCCCGAGCUCAACUUGGGAAUUGCAAUGGAUACUGGCAGGCUUGAGUAUGGUAGAGGAAGGUGGAAUUCCCGGUGUAGCAGUGAAAUGCGUAGAGAUCGGGAGGAACACCAGUGGCGAAGGCGGCCUUCUGGACCAAUACUGACGCUCAUGCACGAAAGCGUGGGGAGCAAACAGG
rnacentral:rRNA from 1 species